rnacentral:rRNA from 1 species
UAGUCCACACUGUAAACGAUGAGUGCUAAAUAUUGGAAUUUUUCAGUGUUAAAGCUAACGCGUUAAGCACUCCGCCUGAGGAUUACGGUCGCAAGGCUAAAACUUAAAGGAAUUGACGGGGACCCGCACAAGCGGUGGAGCAUGCGGUUUAAUUCGAUGAUACGCGAGAAACCUUACCAACCCUUGACAUGUUAGAUCGCGAGUUUCAGAGAUGAAAUUCUUCAGUUCGGCUGGAUCUUUCACAGGUGUUGCAUGGCUGUCGUCAGCUCGUGUCGUGAGAUGUUGGGUUAAGUCCCGCAACGAGCGAAACCCUUGUCUUUAUUUGCCAGCGAGUUAUGUCGGGAACUAUAAAGAGACUGCCGGUGAAAAAUCGGAGGAAGGUGAGGAUGAUGUCAAGUCAUCAUGGCCCUUACGGGUUGGGCUACACGCGUGCUACAAUGGUAACUACAAUGGGUUGCAAUGUCGCGAGGCAAAGCUAAUCCUUAAAAGUUAUCUCAGUUCAGAUUGCACU